AUUGAACGCUGGCGGCAUACUUUACACAUGCAAGUCGAACGGUAACAGGGUGCUUGCACCGCUGACGAGUGGCGAACGGGUGAGUAAUACAUCGGAAUGUACCCAGUAAUGGGGGAUAACGCUUCGAAAGGAGUGCUAAUACCGCCUACGCCCUGAGGUGGAAAGUGGGGGACCGCAAGGCCGAACGUUAUUGGAGCGGCCGAUGGCUGAUUAGCUAGUUGGUGGGGUAAAGGCUCACCAAGGCGACGAUCAGUAGCGGGUCUUAGGGGACGAUCCGCCACACUGGAACUGAGACACGGUCCAGACUCCUACGGGAGGCAGCAGUGGGGAAUCUUGGACAAUGGGCGAAAGCCUGAUCCAGCAAUGCCGCGUGCGUGAAGAAGGCCUUCGGGUUGUAAAGCGCUUUUGUCUGGGAGCAAAUCCUGGCCUCUAAUACAGGUCGGGGAUGAGAGUACCAGAAGAAUAAGGACCGGCUAACUACGUGCCAGCAGCCGCGGUAACAC
rnacentral:rRNA from 1 species